UGGCUCAGAACGAACGCUGGCGGCAUGCCUAACACAUGCAAGUCGAACGGGCUGUAGCAAUACAGUCAGUGGCGAACGGGUGAAUAACGCGUGGGAACCUACCUCGGAGUUCGGAAUAACCGCGGGAAACUGCGGCUAAUACCGGAUACGGCCUGAGGGCGAAAGGAGCAAUCCGCUCCGGGAGGGGCCCGCGUCCGAUUAGCUAGUUGGUGGGGUAACGGCCUACCAAGGCGAUGAUCGGUAGCUGGUCUGAGAGGAUGAUCAGCCACACUGGAACUGCGACACGGUCCAGACUCCUACGGGAGGCAGCAGUGGGGAAUAUUGGACAAUGGGGGAAACCCUGAUCCAGCAAUGCCGCGUGGGUGAUGAAGGCCUUCGGGUUGUAAAGCCCUUUCGGCGGGGACGAUGAUGACGGUACCCGCAGAAGAAGCCCCGGCUAACUUCGUGCCAGCAGCCGCGGUAAUACGAAGGGGGCUAGCGUUGUUCGGAAUUACUGGGCGUAAAGGGCGCGUAGGCGGCUCUGUGCGUCGUGCGUGAAAGGCCUGGGCUCAACCCAGGAAUGGCGCUCGAUACGACAGAGCUAGAGUGCAGGAGAGGAUGGUGGAAUUCCCAGUGUAGAGGUGAAAUUCGUAGAUAUUGGGAAGAACACCGGUGGCGAAGGCGGCCAUCUGGACUGCAACUGACGCUGAGGCGCGAAAGCGUGGGGAGCAAACAGGAUUAGAUACCCUGGUAGUCCACGCUGUAAACGAUGUGCGCUAGACGUUGGUGGACCUAGUUCACCGGUGUCGCAGCUAACGCAUUAAGCGCACCGCCUGGGGAGUACGGCCGCAAGGUUAAAACUCAAAU
rnacentral:rRNA from 1 species